CGACGCGGUGAAUACGUUCUCGGGCCUUGUACACACCGCCCGUCAAGCCAUGGAAGCUGGGGUACCCGAAGUCGCCUUUAAAAAGCGCCUAAGGUAAAACCAGUGACUGGGGCU
rnacentral:rRNA from 1 species